rnacentral:rRNA from 1 species
UGGGGAAUCUUGCACAAUGGGCGAAAGCCUGAUGCAGCGACGCCGCGUGAGGGAUGACGGCCCUAGGGUUGUAAACCUCUUUCAGCAGGGACGAAGCGAAAGUGACGGUACCUGCAGAAGAAGCCCCGGCUAACUACGUGCCAGCAGCCGCGGUAAUACGUAGGGGGCGAGCGUUGUCCGGAUUUAUUGGGCGUAAAGAGCGCGUAGGUGGUUUGUAAAGUCGGAUGUGAAAGUCCAGGGCUUAACCCUGGGAUGCCAAUCGAUACUUGCAGACUAGAGCAUGGUAGGGGGAUCUGGAAUUCCUGGUGUAGCGGUGAAAUGCGCAGAUAUCAGGAGGAACACCGGUGGCGAAGGCGGGAUCCUGGGCCAUUGCUGACACUGAGGCGCGAAAGCUGGGGGAGCAAACA